UAGAGACAGCAGGUUACCCAUGUGGUUUUUGAAACAGCAGGUUACACCCAUGGUUGUAGAGACAGCAGGUUACCCACGUGGUUGUAGAGACAGCAGGUUACCCAUGUGGUUUUAGAGACAGCAGGUUACCCAUGUAGUUGUAGACACAGCAGGUUACCCACAUGGUUGUAGAGACAGCAGGUUACCCACGUGGUUGUAGAGACAGCAGGUUACCCAUGUGGUUGUUGAAACAGCAGGUUACCCAUGUGGUUGUAGAGACAGCAGGUUACCCACAUGGUUGUAGAGACAGCAGGUUACCCAUGUGGUUGUAGAGACAGCAGGUUACCCACGUGGUUGUAGAGACAGCAGGUUACCCACGUGGUUGUUGAAACAGCAGGUUACACCCAUGUAGUUGUAGAGACAGCAGGUUACCCAUGUGGUUUUUGAAACAGCAGGUUACCCAUGUGGUUGUUGAAACAGCAGGUUACCCAUGUGGUUGUAGAGACAGCAGGUUACCCAUGUGGUUGUUGAAACAGCAGGUUACCCAUGUGGUUGUUGAAACAGCAGGUUACCCAUGUGGUUGUUGAAACAGCAGGUUACCCAUGUGGUUGUAGAGACAGCAGGUUACCCAUGUGGUUGUUGAAACAGCAGGUUACCCAUGUGGUUGUUGAAACAGCAGGUUACCCAUGUGGUUGUUGAAACAGUAGGUUACCCAUGUGGUUGUAGAGACAGCAGGUUACCCAUGUGGUUGUUGAAACAGCAGGUUACCCAUGUGGUUGUUGAAACAGUAGGUUACCCAUGUGGUUGUAGAGACAGCAGGUUACCCACGUGGUUGUAGAGACAGCAGGUUACCCACGUGGUUGUAGAGACAGCAGGUUACCCACAUGGUUGUAGAGACAGCAGGUUACCCAUGUGG